UACGUAGGGAGCGAGCGUUGUCCGGAAUUACUGGGCGUAAAGGGCGCGUAGGCGGGGUUUUAAGUAGGGUGUGAAAACUAUAGGCUCAACCUGUAGACUGCAUUCUAAACUGGGACUCUUGAGGGCAGGAGAGGAAAGUGGAAUUCCUAGUGUAGCGGUGAAAUGCGUAGAUAUUAGGAGGAACACCAGUGGCGAAGGCGACUUUCUGGACUGUACCUGACGCUGAGGCGCGAAAGCGUGGGGAGCGA
rnacentral:rRNA from 1 species